rnacentral:rRNA from 1 species
GCAACGAGCGCAACCCUUGUCAUUAGUUGCUACAUUCAGUUGGGCACUCUAAUGAGACUGCCGGUGACAAGCCGGAGGAAGUGGGGAUGACGUCAAGUCCUCAUGGCCCUUAUAGGUGGGGCUACACACGUCAUACAAUGGCUGGUACAAAGGGUUGCCAACCCGCGAGGGGGAGCUAAUCCCAUAAAGCCAGUCGUAGUCCGGAUCGUAGUCUGCAACUCGACUACGUGAAGUCGGAAUCGCUAGUAAUCGUGGAUCAGCAUGUCACGGUGAAUACGUUCCCGGGUCUU